rnacentral:tRNA from 1 species
ACUUAGGUUAAACUGAUAAAACCAGUGACCUUCAAAGCCACAAACAAGAGAUAAUACCUCUUAGCCCC